CAGUCGCCGCGGUAAUACGAAGGGGGCUAGCGUUGCUCGGAAUGACUGGGCGUAAAGGGCGCGUAGGCGGCGAUCAAAGUCAGGCGUGAAAUUCCUGGGCUCAACCUGGGGGCUGCGCUUGAUACUUGGUUGCUUGAGUGGGGAAGAGGGUCGUGGAAUUCCCAGUGUAGAGGUGAAAUUCGUAGAUAUUGGGAAGAACACCGGUGGCGAAGGCGGCGACCUGGUCCUUGACUGACGCUGAGGCGCGAAAGCGUGGGGAGCAAACAGGAUUAGAUACCCCCGUAGUCCCUGUCUCUUAUAC
rnacentral:rRNA from 1 species